AUAACUUCUGGAAACGGAUGCUAAAACCGGAUAGGUAGCAGACAAGCAUUUGACUGCUAUUAAAGUGGCUAAGGCCAUGAACAUGGAUGGACCUGCGGUGCAUUAGCUAGUUGGUGAGGUAACGGCCCACCAAGGCGACGAUGCAUAGCCGGCCUGAGAGGGCGGACGGCCACAUUGGGACUGAGACACGGCCCAAACUCCUACGGGAGGCAGCAGUAGGGAAUUUUCGUCAAUGGGGGGAACCCUGAACGAGCAAUGCCGCGUGAGUGAGGAAGGUCUUCGGAUCGUAAAGCUCUGUUGUAAGAGAAAAACGGCACUCAUAGGGAAUGAUGAGUGAGUGAUGGUAUCUUACCAGAAAGUCACGGCUAACUACGUGCCAGCAGCCGCGGUAAUACGUAGGUGGCGAGCGUUAUCCGGAAUGAUUGGGCGUAAAGGGUGCGUAGGUGGCAGAUCAAGUCUGGGGUAAAAGGUAUGGGCUCAACCCGUACUGCUCUGGAAACUGAUCAGCUAGAGAACAGAAGAGGACGGCGGAACUCCAUGUGUAGCGGUAAAAUGCGUAGAUAUAUGGAAGAACACCGGUGGCGAAGGCGGCCGUCUGGUCUGGAUUCUGACACUGAAGCACGAAAGCGUGGGGAGCAAAUAGGAUUAGAUACCCUAGUAGUCCACGCCGU
rnacentral:rRNA from 1 species